AUGGCCAUGGAAAGGAGAGCUUCAAUCCGGCAUGGGCGGUGCUGCACCGCCACCAAGCUACAGCCAUCGCCGCGCGGAGCUGCAACCAAAGGGUGCAGCUAUUGCAUGAGUGAAGCCGGGGACGAGGGCGGCAACCAACGACGAGGACGGACAGCGAGGACGUCGCGCUGGUGCUUCAAGUUCGGUCGUUUUCUCACGGGGGGUAUGGCGGGGCCGCGGGGGUGCGGAGCGUUGGCGGUGCUCGGGGACGUUGAAAUUUUUAUCACAGAGGAGGAGGAGGGGGGCGACUACGAGGAGGACGAAGUUGGGGUCAGAUCUGAUGGUUUUAAUCGCGCGUAUCGGGCGGCCAGGGCUCGACCGGCCCAACCGUUCGCCCUUUUGUUUCCGAGAAAGAUUUGUGUUCAGUUUUUCCGUUGUUGUGUCUUGGCCCGCCGGCGUGCGGCCGGCACGCUCGAGUUUUAUAUACCAGGUCAUCAGUUCGGCGCCAAGUGUGCAUCAUCGCCGUCCAUUCCGGUCCACAUGUCGUCCGCCUCAGCCAGCAGCGAGCCGCACGACGCGCCGGCCGCCGACAGCAGCGUGCCGGCGUCGAGGUCGAUCGCGGAGCGGUGGAAGAUGGAGGCGGCGCCGGUGCGGGCGCGGCUGCUGCUGCGGGCCUUCGCGUGGCUCUUCUCCCUGCUGGCCCUCGUCGUCAUGGCCACCGACGUGCACGGCCGCGGCGGCGCCCAGGACUUCAGCACCUACCCGGAAUACAAGCACGUCGUCCAGAUCCAUCCAUCGACCCCCGUCUCAUCAUCUGUCACCUGA
rnacentral:rRNA from 1 species